rnacentral:lncRNA from 1 species
GAGGGGAGUUCCUGACACCAGGGGAUGGAUGGCGAGUAGCAAUCUCUAUUUGGUCCAAGUUCCACAGCUAGAACAAUACAACUGCUCUGCGUCAGUUUCUAGAGUUCCCGAAUGCUCAUCAAAGUUUAGUCUGGCUUUGUGUCAUAGACAGCAGGAUCCAAUAAGGAUUACAAAGUCCAAAUUAGAUCAUUUAUUGUGUCUGUGUAUGUGUGAGUGUGUGUUGUUCUUGCUUAAUUCAUGUUAGCAUUCGCAAAUCCAUUUUACUACCAUAAUUUAGCGUAGUUCAGAGAGAAACAGAAUGUGGGAAUAAAAAUGUGGGAUAGGAAUUUAUACAUCAGGAAUCUAUUGGAUUGUGCAAAGUGGGUGUUAUGUACCAAAAUCUGUUCAGAAGUAUGAAGGGGAGGAGUUAAAAGAUGGAAUGGGGGUGUCAGCUAUAAACAAAGUAAUUUCUAUGGAAUGAGAAAUUUUGAUUGAAAGUUUGAUUUCAUUGUGACUUUAUGGUUAAAACGUUCACUUCAAAUAUUUUACACUAUAAAAAACUCUUUGCAGGAAGAAUAAGAUUAGCAGUGAUUUUUGCAUUUUUUUUUUCCUGUUCUAGAAUAAUCUAGUCUCCCUGUAGCAUGUUCUCCACUGUUAAUCCUGCUGCUUUGUGAUAGCAGCAUAGAGCUCUCUCUCCGUCUUUUCUCUCUCUCCCUUUCUCCUUCUCUAAUUUGUCUCUUCCUGUUUAUUUCCCUUAACAAGUGGACGUGAGUUUAUGUGCCUCAAAUGGUGGUGGAAGCCAUGCCUCAAAUUGGAGGACUCUGGGUGAGGACUUUUGUCAGAGAGCGUUGGCUCUAAUCACAGAUAUUCAGGAGUUUUAUGAACUGACCCUGCUGAACUCUCAGAAGAGCUGUGAUCAGAAGCUGGUGGAGGUGAAUCAUAUGGCUGAGCAGUGGAAACAAACUGCCACCAACUCAACCUCACCCUCUGAGGGUCCUAGGCCAGCCUCCACACCGCCAGAGCUGAGAGAAGAGUGUCACAUGGAGCUAACCAUAGAGGAGCCUGCCGCAGGAAGCACCAAUACAGAGGUGAGACACACACACACACACACACACACACACACACACUAUUGUUUUUUCGACCUAAAAGUAGGGUACUAUCCCAUAGGCGUAAUGGUUUUAUACUGUACAAACUGUAUAUUCUAUCGCCCUACACCAACCCUACACCUAACCCUACCCCUUACAGGAAACUUUGUGCAUUUUUACUUUCUCAAAAAAACUCAUUCUGUAUGGUUUAUAAGUUAG